rnacentral:rRNA from 1 species
UACGAAGGGGGCUAGCGUUGUUCGGAAUACUGGGCGUAAAGCGUGCGCAGGCGGCUUUGCAAGACAGAUGUGGAAAUCCCCGGGCUUAACCUGGGAACUGCAUUUGUGACUGCAUGGCUGGAGUGCGGCAGAGGGGGAUGGAAUUCCGCGUGUAGCAGUGAAAUGCGUAGAUAUGCGGAGGAACACCGAUGGCGAAGGCAAUCCCCUGGGCCUGCACUGACGCUCAUGCACGGAAAGCGUGGGAGCGAACAGG